rnacentral:rRNA from 1 species
CAUAGGUUUGGUCCCAGCCUUCCUGUUAACUUUCAAUAGACUUAUACAUGCAAGCAUCCACGCCCCGGUGAGUAACGCCCUUCGAAUCACAUAGGACUAAAAGGAGCAGGUAUCAAGCACACACUCUUGUAGCUCACAACGCCUUGCUUAACCACACCCCUACGGGAGACAGCAGUAACAAAAAUUAAGCCAUAAACGAAAGUUUGACUAAGCCAUAUUGACCAGGGUUGGUAAAUCUCGUGCCAGCCACCGCGGUCAUACGAUUGACCCAAGCUAACAGGAGUACGGCGUAAAGCGUGUUAAAGCAUCAUACUAAAUAGAGUUAAAUUUUAAUUAAACUGUAAAAAGCCAUAAUUAUAACAAAAAUAAAUGACGAAAGUAACCCUACAAUAGCUGAUACACCAUAGCUAAGACCCAAACUGGGAUUAGAUACCCCACUAUGCUUAGCCCUAAACACAAAUAAUUAU